AAAAAAUUAGUUAAAUUAUAACAUUAGUUUGUCAAACUAAAAUAAUCAAUAUUAUGAUAUUUUUUA
rnacentral:tRNA from 2 species